UCACCACAUCGUCUUCAUGUCAGACGGAAAAAGUAAGCACAACACAACAAUGAAUUUUGAUCACAUUGCGACAAGAAUCGCAGAUACUGCAGUUACUCCACAACAAUCCUCCAGCAUCACGACAAAUCUGCCUCAUACUGGUCAGGUUAAACACGCCCACCCAUCCAUACGCCUGAACGUUCUGAUAUCAAUUCCGUGGAGAGAGAAGGUGAUGCUAAAUUUGGAAGUUUAGGGUCAUCUCCUGUGCUGAAUCAUUAACGUAUCUUCGAUGGAGUUCCUGCGCAGAUUUAGUUUUACUACGUUGUUCUAGGCUACAGAUAUGAAUGCCAGUCAUACCCCACAGCCAUAAGAUUGCAGCCCAGCAAUCAGUGGGAAAGGAUCCCAAGCUCCUUCUUCGGAAGCUCCUUCUUCGGAAGCUCCUUCACAAACCUGCU
rnacentral:lncRNA from 1 species